GACGAACCGUGCGAACGUUGUUCGGAAUCACUGGGCUUAAAGGGCGCGUAGGCGGGUUCGCAAGUCUGUGGUGAAAGCCUCCAGCUUAACUGGAGAAGUGCCAUGGAUACUGCGCAUCUUGAGGAGGGUAGGGGCGUCUGGAACGGUCGGUGGAGCGGUGAAAUGCGCAGAUAUCAGGAAGAACACCCGUGGCGAAGGCGGCUCUCUGGGACGGUACUGACGCUGAGACGCGAAAGCGUGGGGAGCGAACAGG
rnacentral:rRNA from 1 species